UAAUACGGAAGAUCCAAGCGUUAUCCGGAAUUAUUGGGUUUAAAGGGUCCGUAGGUGGAUAAUUAAGUCAGAGGUGAAAUCCUGCAGCUUAACUGUAGAAUUGCCUUUGAUACUGGUUAUCUUGAGUUAUUAUGAAGUGAUUAGAAUGUGUAGUGUAGCGGUGAAAUGCGUAGAUAUUACACAGAAUACCAAUUGCGAAGGCAGGUCACUAAUAAUCAACUGACACUGAGGGACGAAAGCGUGGGUAGCGAACAGGAUUAGAUACCCUGGUAGUCCACGCCGUAAACGAUGGUCACUAGCUGUUUGGACUUCGGUCUGAGUGGCUAAGCGAAAGUGAUAAGUGACCCACCUGGGGAGUACGUUCGCAAGAAUG
rnacentral:rRNA from 1 species